rnacentral:rRNA from 1 species
UACGGGGGAUGCAAGCGUUAUCCGGAAUCAUUGGGCGUAAAGCGCCUGUAGGUUGUUUAAUAAGUCUGUUGUUAAAGACUAGGGCUCAACCCUAGGAAAGCAAUGGAAACUGCUAGACUUGAGUAUGAUAGGGGUAGAGGGAAUUUCUAGUGUAGCGGUGAAAUGCGUAGAUAUUAGAAAGAACACCGGUGGCGAAGGCGCUCUACUGGAUCAUUACUGACACUCAGAGGCGAAAGCUAGGGUAGCAAAAGGGAUUAGAUACCCCUGUAGUCCUAGCCGUAAACGAUGGAUACUAGAUGUUGUGCUUAUAGUACAGUGUCCUAGCUAACGCGUUAAGUAUCCCGCCUGGGGAGUACGCUCGCAAGGGUG